CCUGCCUAACCAUAAGAGGUCAAGCCUGCCCAGUGACAUUGUUCAACGGCCGCGGUAUCCUAACCGUGCGAAGGUAGCGUAAUCACUUGUUCUUUAAAUGAGGACUAGUAUGAACGGCUUCACGAAAGCUAUACUGUCUCCUUUAUCUAAUCAGUGAAACUAAUCUCCCCGUGAAGAAGCGGGGAUCCCCCUAUAAGACGAGAAGACCCUGUGGAGCUUUAAACACCUUAAAACAUUUGUAUUUCCUUACUUAACUUUACUAAACCCAUCAUUUUGUUUUAAGUUUUAGGUUGGGGUGACCACGGAGAACAACUUAACCUCCACAUAGAAAAAGCCUUCUUUUUAAGCAAAAAGUUACACCUUGAUGCAUCAAUACAUUGACUUAAAUUGACCCAAUUAUUUGAUCAAUGAAC
rnacentral:rRNA from 1 species